CGCGGUGUAGCCUGAUGUCGGCGCUGCGGCACGUCGUGUGCGCCCUGUCUGGCGGUGUGGACAGCGCGGUGGCGGCGCUGCUGUUGCGGCGGAGAGGUGAGGCCAGGGUUCCUCACUGGGGACAGGAGCUUGGGCUCCUCCAGGUCUGAGGCCUGGCCUUUUGCAGACUCCGCGGGCCUCCAGGCGAGGACACCGCCAACUCUAAUGACAAAAUCACUCCAGUGUUCUCCUUCGUUGGAUGACAAACUUCACUCCGAACAGCUACCAGUUCUUCCUGACUUGUAGAUGUAGCCUCAUGGGUCCUUAGGGUUCGGAUCUGAUUCCAACGACCGGUGUACAUUCCUCCUGCUGUGUGGCCCCACCUUGUGUCAACCUCUCCGCAUUCACCUUGGCGGCUUUUAAUGGAGUCCCCCUCAGCCGUGGAUCAUCUUCCCCGGGGCACGCGGGGUGCAGAGGCGCGGGGCCAGGAGCCUGGGCUUGGGCAAGUUAACUAAGCACCCCCCAGUAAAAAUGGGAUGACCCGUAAUAUGGGAUGACUGGAAUGAUUAAAUGGCACAGUAUGUAUUGAAAGGGUUAGCUAUACAAUGUGAGAUAUAUCGGAAAGCAGGAGCGAUUCUUUUAUAAUCACAGCUGUUAUGACAGAGUAAAAGAGCCACAGGAUACAGGUGUGUACUAUGGUGAGAAAGGAAGAGGGAAGCAUUUCUCUACAAAGAACUGGCUGCAGUAACACAGGCAGGAGGCAGAGGAGAGAGUGCCGGCCAGAAUAGGAUAUAGUGGGGUUAGUGAAGCUGACGGUAUUAAGGAAUUUGGGGUAAUGUUGAGUAGGCAGUGUGAGUCUUUGAAGGUUUCCAAUGAGAACUGUGUAACUAGAUGCUUUGGGAAGUGGCAAAGGUUGGCAUCAUUCUUACAGAUUUAUCUUUUACUACUAAAGGGAGAUCAACUGCUGCCUAGUUUUUAUGUCACAUUAAAACUAUGUGACAUGUUAGGGUCCUCUGGUAGGAGGGAACCUCAGCUGAGAAACUGUCAUCACCCUGGCCUGUAGGCUAGUCAGUGGGGCCUUCUCUUAAUAAUUGGUGUAGGAAGCCUCGUUCCAUUAGGAGUAAUGCUAUCUCUGGGCAGGUGGUCCUAGGUUUUAUAAGAAAACAGGCUGAGCAGGCCAAAGAAACAAGCCCAUAAGCAGUAUUCUUUUAUAACCUAUGAUUCAAUUCUGCCUUCAGGUUCCUGACCUGAGUUCCUGCCCCAGCUUCCCCUGAUGGUAGACUGUGACCUUUAGGGCCAAAUAAAUCCUUUCCUCUCC
rnacentral:lncRNA from 1 species